rnacentral:rRNA from 1 species
GGUUGAUCCUGCCAGUAGUCAUAUGCUUGUCUCAAAGAUUAAGCCAUGCAUGUCUAAGUACACACUUUGGUAAAGUGAAACCGCGAAUGGCUCAUUAAAUCAGCUACAAUUUAUUAGAUCGUACACUGUUACUUGGAUAACUGUGGGAAUUCUAGAGCUAAUACAUGCCGAGAGUCUCUGCUCUUCGGGGCAGAGCGCAGUUAUUAGACCAAAACCAGCCGUAUUCUUCGGGGUACGCUCUUUUGGUGACUCUGGAUAACCUUCAGCCGAUCGCAUGGCCUCGUGCCGGCGACGUAUCUUUCAAGUGUCUGCCCUAUCAACUUUCGAUGGUACGUGAUAUGCCUACCAUGGUGAUAACGGGUAACGGGGAAUCAGGGUUCGAUUCCGGAGAGGGAGCCUGAGAAAUGGCUACCACAUCCAAGGAUGGCAGCAGGCGCGCAAAUUACCCACUCCCAGCUUGGGGAGGUAGUGACGAAAAAUAACAAUGCGGGACUCUAAGAGGCCCCGUAAUUGGAAUGAGUACACCUUAAAUCGUUUAACGAGUAUCAAUUGGAGGGCAAGUCUGGUGCCAGCAGCCGCGGUAAUUCCAGCUCCAAUAGCGUAUAUUAAAGUUGCUGCAGUUAAAAAGCUCGUAGUUGGAUCUGGGGCUUGAGGUCGCUGUCUAUCGUUUCGGCGAUGACGGUGAUGCUCAGCUCUGCUUGCCGGUGACUGUUGCGGUGUUCUUCACUGAGCGCUGUAGCAGCACGGCACGUUUACUUUGAAAAAAUUAGAGUGCUCAAAGCGUGCUUGUCGCUUGAAUAAUGUUGCAUGGAAUAAUGGAAUAGGACCUCGGUUCUAUUUUGUUGGUUUUCGGAGCUUGAGGUAAUGAUUAAGAGGGACGAACGGGGGCAUUCGUAUUGCGGUGUUAGAGGUGAAAUUCUUGGAUCGCCGCAAGACGGACUACUGCGAAAGCAUUUGCCAAGAACGCUUUCAUUAAUUAAGAACGAAAGUCAGAGGUUCGAAGACGAUCAGACACCGUCCUAGUUCUGACCAUAAACGAUGCCGACCAGCGAUCCGUAGUGGUUGCUUUAUGGACCCUACGGGCAGCCUCCGGGAAACCAAAGUAUUUGGGUUCCGGGGGAAGUAUGGUUGCAAAGCUGAAACUUAAAGGAAUUGACGGAAGGGCACACCAGGAGUGGAGCCUGCGGCUUAAUUUGACUCAACACGGGAAAACUCACCCGGUCCGGACACCGUAAGGAUUGACAGACUGAUAGCUCUUUCUUGAUUCGGUGGAUGGUGGUGCAUGGCCGUUCUUAGUUGGUGGAGUGAUUUGUCU